rnacentral:lncRNA from 12 species
GACAAUUUUUCAGUUCCUAUUUUUUGUUGCAGUGAGAUUUUACUGCUUUGCUUGUAUCCCUUAUCAGGGAAUUCAAACUUUUGAUAUGCUUAUUGUAAAUAUUUUUCCACUUGUUGCCUCUGCCUGGGGCAGAAACAAAAGCAAAUAUGUUGCUGAAAGCAAGGGAGCGAAAGAGCCCUUCAACAAAGGAGUGACAGCAGUUUCCAAUGCUACAAAGAGACCCAGCAAGUCACCACCUGAUUCCCAUCUUCAUUUCAACCACAACAGCCACACUCUAAUCUGGUUUAUGGAUUGGAC